rnacentral:rRNA from 1 species
UACGUAGGGCGCGAGCGUUGUCCGGAAUUAUUGGGCGUAAAGAGCUCGUAGGCGGCCUGUUGCGUCCGCUGUGAAAUCCCGGGGCUUAACCCUGGGCGUGCAGUGGAUACGGGCAGGCUGGAGGCAGGCAGGGGAGAACGGAAUUCCCGGUGUAGCGGUGAAAUGCGCAGAUAUCGGGAGGAACACCGGUGGCGAAGGCAGCUCGCUGGGACGUGACUGACGCUGAGACGCGAAAGCGUGGGGAGCAAACAGG